rnacentral:rRNA from 1 species
CCUACGGGUGGCAGCAGUGAGGAAUAUUGGUCAAUGGGCGCGAGCCUGAACCAGCCAAGUAGCGUGAAGGAUGACUGCCCUACGGGUUGUAAACUUCUUUUAUAAAGGAAUAAAGUGAGGCACGUGUGCCUUUUUGGCUGUACUUUAUGAAUAAGGAUCGGCUAACUCCGUGCCAGCAGCCGCGGUAAUACGGAGGAUCCGAGCGUUAUCCGGAUUUAUUGGGGUUAAAGGGAGAGUAGAUGGGUUGUUAAGUCCGUUGUGAAAGGUUGCGGCUCAACCGGAAAAUUGCAAUUGAUACUGGCAGACUUGAGUACAGUUGAGGUAGGCGGAAGU